rnacentral:rRNA from 1 species
AUGGGGCGCCAAUCCACGAGGGUCCCUACGCCGCCACCGCCGCCGCCGGCACGGGAGCCUCACCAGGUCACCACCACCGAGCAAGCAGCCGCUGUUCCCCACUUCAGAGCGGCCUCUUCAUCAACGCAAGCUCCGCCGAUGGACAAGCAGGCAUGGAACGCUGCGGCCGCUGCCUCCGAGUUCUUCUCCCCAACAUUACAUUGGGGGGUGGAUCCCCGUCCGCCGGGUGGUUUCGUAAGCUAUUUGGGAAAUCCAUCAAGUUACCCGCUUCCACAACAGCCGCCUAAUCAGCAGGCCAUGUUGCAGCAUCUCCAUUACUCUGGUGGUCCUUCACACUAUGUUCCAUGUCCAGCACCACAACCAUCACCCUCACUUCGCAAGUCAAGAACUCCAGUUACACCUUCUGGUUCACAACAAACCAUCAAUGUUGACGGUGAGGAGGAUGGAGAUAAGAGGACUGAGAAGCGACUUGCUUGGACAUCACAGGAGGAUGUAAGAUUGAUGAGCGCCUGGUUACGUUGCUCGACUGACCCAAUUAAUGGCAACAACAAGAAGAGUGAUCAGUAUUGGGGAGAUGUCACUAACGUGUACAACAGCACCACUCCAAAAAAUAGGACAAGACAAGUGAAGCAAGCAAAAGACCAUUGGCAUACUCUUAAUAAGCUAGUCUUCCAGUUCCAUUGCUGUUACGUGCAUGCAUCCAUUUUCUUCUAUGGCCGACUCAACUAA